rnacentral:rRNA from 1 species
GUGCUCUGAUGCUUAUUGCACCACAUGUGUUUUUCUUUGAAACGAACUUGCUUUGGCGGUGGGCCCAGCCUGCCGCCAGAGGUCUAAACUUACAACCAAUUUUUUAUCAACUUGUCACACCAGAUUAUUACUUAAUAGUCAAAACUUUCAACAACGGAUCUCUUGGUUCUCGCAUCGAUGAAGAACGCAGCGAAAUGCGAUACGUAAUAUGAAUUGCAGAUAUUCGUGAAUCAUCGAAUCUUUGAACGCACAUUGCGCCCUCUGGUAUUCCGGAGGGCAUGCCUGUUUGAGCGUCGUUUCUCCCUCAAACCGCUGGGUUUGGUGUUGAGCAAUACGACUUGGGUUUGCUUGAAAGACGGUAGUGGUAAGGCGGGAUCGCUUUGACAAUGGCUUAGGUCUAACCAAAAACAUUGCUUGCGGCGGUAACGUCCACCACGUAUAUCUUCAAACUUUGACCUCAAAUCAGGUAGGACUACCCGCUGAACUUAAGCAUAUCAAAAGCGGGGAG